rnacentral:rRNA from 1 species
AAAUUGAAGAGUUUGAUCAUGGCUCAGAUUGAACGCUGGCGGCAGGCCUAACACAUGCAAGUCGAACGGUAACAGGAAGCAGCUUGCUGCUUUGCUGACGAGUGGCGGACGGGUGAGUAAUGUCUGGGAAACUGCCUGAUGGAGGGGGAUAACUACUGGAAACGGUAGCUAAUACCGCAUAACGUCGCAAGACCAAAGAGGGGGACCUUCGGGCCUCUUGCCAUCGGAUGUGCCCAGAUGGGAUUAGCUAGUAGGUGGGGUAAA